rnacentral:rRNA from 1 species
GACGAACGCUGGCGGCGUGCCUAACACAUGCAAGUCGAGCGAGUGGAGUUCUUCGGAACAAAGCUAGCGGCGGACGGGUGAGUAACACGUGGGCAACCUGCCUCAUAGAGGGGAAUAGCCUCCCGAAAGGGAGAUUAAUACCGCAUAAGAUUGUAGCUUCGCAUGAAGUAGCAAUUAAAGGAGCAAUCCGCUAUGAGAUGGGCCCGCGGCGCAUUAGCUAGUUGGUGAGGUAACGGCUCACCAAGGCGACGAUGCGUAGCCGACCUGGGAGGGUGAUAGGCCACAUUGGGACUGAGACACGGCCCAGACUCCUACGGGAGGCAGCAGUGGGGAAUAUUGCACAAUGGGGGAAACCCUGAUGCAGCAACGCCGCGUGAGUGAUGACGGCCUUCGGGUUGUAAAGCUCUGUCUUCAGGGACGAUAAUGACGGUACCUGAGGAGGAAGCCACGGCUAACUACGUGCCAGCAGCCGCGGUAA